UCCAGUGCCCAAGGAAGUUCUAUAAAAAGAUCAGCAAGCCUGAGAGCUUUCAAAAGCUUCCUUACGCUUGGUGCUCUCCGUGGUACAGGGGCUCCUUCUCUGCUUGCUGCACUCACCGAGCUUUCCUCGUCUACCUUUCAAACUGAGACUCAAGGCUUUGAGCAGGCUUACACAAAAGGCCUAAACAGCAGGAAGGAACAUCACAGACUCACUUUUCUUCUGCCGAGAUGAUUUCCUACAGACUCCGGGCAACAUGCACCCCUCGCUGCUAUGGCUGUGGCUAUGUCAGAGGCGCACACAGUUGUCGUCCGAGUGGGUACCGUUAUGGUUCCUACAACCCAUAUCCUACUCCUUCUUGCCGGCACACUGGAUAUCGCUCCGGCUAUAGCCUUUCUCGCCACAGCUGUGGCUCCCCCUGCUAUGGUAGCAGUGGUCACAACUGUCGUUAUCCCAUUGGCAGUCGGAGUACUAGCUUCCGCCACCGACGUCCGCAGUAACCUGGAUAAAAGCAUCACUGGAACAGAGACCGUGGAUGAUGAUGGAACAACGAGGCACAGACGAUCUGCAAACACUGGCCAUGGCUUUCAAAUAUACUAUGUUUCCAUAAUCUUCAUUUGAGUUUGUUGUUUUGGGGAGCUCUCCUGACCUCUAAAACUCAGGGGUGAUGUAGGAGAUAGAGGUUCUCCUGACAAUGUUCAUCCAGCCAAAGCUGCAGGGGACACUAAAACUGUGAUGUGGGACCAAGAUGCUCACACUCUGCAGACCCAAACCAGCUGCUUUCUAAUGCAUGAGGAUGUAUCAUUCCUCCUGAUGGCUGAAUUAAAAUAUAUAUAUAUUUUAAAAUAGCUCUCGGGAGACAUUCCAUGUCUUUCUGCAUCACACUGAGUUUGGUCUUCAUACCAUUGAUCUAGGAACACUUUCUACAAGUCCUUCAAGUAUAUCCAAAGUUUCCCUCUAAAACAUAAAUGUUCAUUCCUAUUCCCUAACGCCCUAGAAAAAUCAAGCAUUUAUUCCACACAUUUCUAGACGAACAACCUAUCAAAAAAGCAAAACAGUUGGGUGAAAGAGAAAACAAUUUACCAGCAGUUGUCAGACUGUGUUUUGAGGAACCCCGGUGUGCUUUUCGGAAGCAAGAAUUUGAGUAGUAUACCGGGGGCUUUACUAAAAAUAGUAUCUUAAUAAAUUAAGAGGUUUUCUUGAUAACUUGUGACACUUCUAUUAUGAUUUUGUGAGCUGCAUAAAACACUUGUCUGGAGCAGUGGAAUAUAACUUUUCUAAAUAACUUUCCCCAAGGGAAAAUUAGUAAUGGAAGACACAUUUCCCAGAAGGAAAGCUUAAUUAUCAUUCACAACAUCCCUUGAAAUCAAUGGUGUAGUGACAAUAUCACAAGUUUAAGGCAGCUGUUUAAGCCCCUUUCUGGCAGACGGAAGGAA